UGAGUAACCUGCCCUUAACUCUGGGAUAAGCCUGGGAAACUGGGUCUAAUACCGGAUAUGACUCCUCAUCGCAUGGUGGGGGGUGGAAAGCUUUAUUGUGGUUUUGGAUGGACUCGCGGCCUAUCAGUUUGUUGGUGAGGUAAUGGCCCACAAGGCGACGACGGGUAGCCGGCCUGAGAGGGUGACCGGCCACACUGGGACUGAGACACGGCCCAGACUCCGUACGGGAGCAG
rnacentral:rRNA from 1 species